GUCCACGCCGUAAACGAUGAUAACUAGUUGUUUGGGCUCACAGAGCUUGAGUGACGCAGCUAACGCAUUAAGUUAUCCGCCUGGGGAGUACGGUCGCAAGAUUAAAACUCAAAGGAAUUGACGGGGGCCUGCACAAGCGGUGGAGCAUGUGGUUUAAUUCGAAGCAACGCGCAGAACCUUACCAGCGUUUGACAUCCUUGUCGCGGAUUCCACAGAUGGUUUCCUUCAGUUCGGCUGGACAAGUGACAGGUGCUGCAUGGCUGUCGU
rnacentral:rRNA from 1 species